rnacentral:rRNA from 1 species
UUACCAGGCACGUUAUGGUGGGCACUCUAAGGAGACUGCCGGUGACAAACCGGAGGGAAGGUGGGGAUGACGUCAAGUCAUCAUGGGCCCUUACGGCCUGGGCUACACACGUGCUACAAUGGUCGGUACAAAGGGUUGCCAAGCCGCGAGGUGGAGCUAAUACCCAUAAAACCGAUCGUAGUCCGGAUCGCAGUCUGCAACUCGACUGCGUGAAGUCGGAAUCGCUAGUAAUCGUGAAUCAGAAUGUCACGGUGAAUACGUUCCCGGGCCUU